rnacentral:lncRNA from 1 species
GCUCAGCACAAUCUGACGCCCAAAACGGCAAUAUGGGUCUACCGUCAGCCCCGACGGCACCCAACAGUCCGGAACAGUCUAAACGCUACUGUAAAAAUACACUCGGCAUCCCAGCACGAGCGUAACUGCUAUCUAAACUAUCUGAGGUAUCCACCACGUUGAUACUGCGGUGAUACAAAAAUAACAACGGCUCCUAGAGCUAAAUCAGGUAGUUUAAGCAUGUGACAGGUUCAAAUCGCAGGUUUUCUCCUAAGUCAAACUCAAGUCCAAUAUGUGUAAAUAUCUAGUCACAGUACUAGACUCCAAUUCAUAUUCUACAGUUAAACAUGCCAAAAUCCAUGAAUCGAGCCAUUUCUAUCAACGAAAC